AAAGAAGAGAAAGAUAAGGAAGGAGAAGAAGGAGGAGAUCAAGAGGAAGGCUUUGAGCACCUCCAUCUCCCUCUCCUCUUCCCAUUGGUGUAGCUCUUGAGGUAAGCUACUAAACCCUAGCUUCUAGAACUUAGGGUUUUGGAUUUUUAUGCUUUGGAACGGGUCAAAUAGACCCUAGGCAAGCUUCUAAGUAGAUCAAUCCCAUGAUUCUAGGGUUUUAUUGGUGGGUUGCUAUAUGUGCAACCUAGGGCUCCAAAUGGGGGCAUUUUAUAAAGUAUGAGAUUGAUCUCAUUUGAGGCCUUGUAAACCUAAUCGAUAGAUGCCCAAACGCGGGGGCGAAGUCGAUUUCGCGAUUUAUCGAGCGGGCUUAGAGCAAUCGGCGAAUUACGGUCGUUUCGUCGUUAUCUUGGACCAAGGGAGGCUAAAGCCUCAUCGUAGUGCUCGCCGAGGAGCGUUUCCUAAGCCUCUACAUCGAUUAAAGGUGGGGGGUGCUAUCCCGAAGCUUUCGAACUCCUUUCUAUGUCUUAGAUUGCAUUUAAUCUCAUCUCUUCAUGUUGCAUUGUAGGAUUGCAUGAUAGUACCUUUCCUUAUGCUUUCUAAUUGAUAACCUAGUGUACUCGAAACGCUUGGUAACUUAGAUAGGUGAGGAUUGGGUCGGAACGUGGAUCCUAUGAUGCGAAAAAAAAGAGGUGAACCCGCUGGGGGUAUUGAUGACAUAGAAAGUAGUGUUUAGUGUUAAGGAACACACGAGUGGCAUUAAUGUAGUGUAUAUAACACUAGAGGUCGAUGGACCUAGGGAUAGGUGGAUCCCUUAGAAAAUGCCUUGUGAACAAUGAAUUUAGAGAGCUAAAUAGCAUUGGAUGAAUGUCGGGAACAAAUGAUUCCGCAAGAUAUGUUGACCCUAGAGUAGGGCAUCCUCACUUGGAGAGGAUUUGAUUGGGUUGUGGACCCUAGUUAUAGUGCUUCCUCACUUGGAGAGGAUUUGAUUGGGUGUUGACCCUAGUUACAGUGUAUCCUCACUUGGAGAGGAUAGAUCUAGCUCACAGUUUGCGUUUUGGGUGGUAUAGCCAUCCAAUCCCCACAUGGCAGGGAUUGUCGUCGAGUACUCCGGAGUGUCGCGCGACUAGGACCACUUGGAGGUCCAGACCACAUGGAGGUCCACAGACGGUCCCGGGCUUGGGUGCACUUGGAGCUCCCUCCCUACUUUGGGAUUGAAAGGUGAGUUAUAGGCGAGCCCUAGGGCCUCGCCACAGAUUGGGUAAAUGGAAGGUUAAAGGUUUAAAAUGUCAUUGAACAUCGCUAUUCGAACAUGGAUCGAAAUUGCUAGCAUGGUAGCCAACCUUCAUUAUAUGAUGCAUGCAUUCAUAUUCAUGAUUAUGGGCAUAGUAGCAUAGUUCUUCCUACUAUCGCAUUUACAGCUUUCAGAUACAUAUCUAUAUAUCUAUCUAUCUAUCUGUUGUUACUUGUGCCCACUUGGACCUAGUGGGGAGAUCGGCAGAGUCGGCGGCCGAGCCCACUGCGAACUAUGGAAGAUAGUUCUCACCCCACUCUAUUUCCAGUGGUAGGUACAGGGUUGCCGAGAGAGGACCGCGGCAAGGGCAUCGCGCCCGAUCAGUGAGACCGUGGUAGUAUAGUAGUUUUUCUUUUUGCAUUAGUACACCUAUGUAUUCGAGAGAAAUUCAUUGUAGGUGAGGAUUUGGAGAGCUAUGUAUUUUGGAUGAAAAGUGUAUUCAUUUAAAGAAAAUGAUGUAAAGGAAAAGAUGCAAAACUAUUGUAAUAGUUAGUAAAGUACUCUCUUUAUUUCACAAUGCUUUAUCUUGGGGAUUACUUGCUCCUUGUAUGGUUGGCACUGUUUGUGCCCCGUUGAAUGUGUAUGUUUAGAAUUUAAUUUCCUGGGUAAAUUCUUGUACGCAUUCUUGUUGCUGAGCCUUGGGCGGAUAGGGGAGGUGCUGUCCGUUCGGCGGUCCGCCGCCGCGGCCGAAUCGUGCCAAAUUGGUAGUGGUUUCGGGGCGGGGCGUGACAGUCUUAUUUGGUAUCAGAGCAAGGAGCAAGUAAAGAGAGAAAGUCUAGGAUGACCUAGGAGACCCCAGGUUGGUGAGCCCUAAGGUUAUAGGUGCGUGAGCGGAACGUGAACCUAUAGCGAUGGCGGAAGUUGAUUCGAUUGGGUCGAAGUUGGUAAUAUGUCUCUAGUUGCGAUUAAGAGACGGAUUGAAGUGGUACGAGUUCUUGUCUUGAGGUUGUUGUGUCAGCGGCCGACGACAUGAUACCGAGAGUCUAGAACGAGUACACUUGUGUGCUUCCGCCCGAUUUUGUCGUUGAGUCGACAAGUGUCGUAAUUUCGACAAGGUAAUUGGUUAAGGUGACUGACCAGGUAUUUGCGUUGCAGGGACUAAUGUCUCCAAGACGCUACACGCGUAGGACUGCCCCAGCACCGACCCCUGAGGUGCCCGAGCAGGGAGAACCGAGCGUGAUUGAUCAGUUGCAAGCGCAAGUAACCGCGCUGACCGAUGUGGUGCAGCGCCAGGAGACCCGAUUCGAGCGGCUCCAGGAGCUUUUGAAGCGGCAAGCGGCGGCAGCGGCCGCGACGGUGACGGACGGAUGCGAUGUGCCCGCGCCCUCGGCUCGCGUACCUGAGCCGACUGAGGGUGAGGGUAUAGCGGCGGUCCCGGUGGCGGCGCGUCCCCCGCCGGCGAUCGUGCCAUCGGCGGCGUCGGGAUCGGCUACACCUGAUGCGACGGCCGAAGACGUGGAAGGAGAGCGCGCAUUGGCGGCUCUUAUCAAGUUCAACAAGUUCCAUCCGCCAACCUUUGAGGGCGAGAAGGUGGAACCGGCGAUGGUCGAGUCUUGGAUCGACUCGAUGGAAACCCUCUUCGAAGACUUACGUACCUUGGAGAGAGAUAAGGUGUACCUCGCCACUCAUUGUUUGGAGAAGGCGGCGAAGGUCUGGUGGAAGCGCGUCAAGCGGGAUCGGCUUCCCGGCCUUCUGCCGAUGCUGUGGGAGGAAUUCAAGCGGGAGAUGUUCGCCAACUACUUCCCCAAUACAUUGAAGAGGAAGCUCAAGGAGAAGUUCCGCAAGCUAGAGCAAGGGGACCGCUCCGUGGCGGAGUACGAACAGGAAUUCUCCCACAUCAUAGAUUGUGUCCCGGAUGUUGUCAAGGAUGACCGGGACCGGGCCGAGUGGUUCUUGCGAGGACUUCAGCCGGGGAUCUACAAGGCCGUGCAAAUACUUAAGCUCACGACCUUUGUGGAGGUCUUUGAUCGAGCCCUAUGGGCAGAGCACGGGGAUGCCCACAUGCGGGAGAAGCGUGAGCUUUUGGCGGAGUCCAAGGACAAGGGCAAGAAACGCCAAGGCGGCGGUAGUUCGGGUGGUCAGACACGUUACAAGAAACCCCCUAAGUAUCCGCCCACUCAACAGAAGAACGGUGGAGCGCGGCGAUGCAUUGUAUGCUGCGGGGACCACCCAGUCUCGCGCUGUGAACAAGGCCAGGGCAAGUGCUACAAGUGUGGGCAACCGGGCCACUUCAUUCGGGAUUGCCCUGGAGGAGGAGCCUCACCUGCCCCAUCAUUUGCAUCAGCGCCGGCGAUUCCAGCUCACUAUGGAGGAGCUCCAUCGACGGCUGCGUCGACAGGACGUGCGAUGACGCCGCGUCAACCUGAAAUGGCGAGAUCGGCCCCGAGCGGUCUGGUGUUCGCUGCUCAGGUGCAAGCUGAGGAGCCUACGGAGGCGGAGGAGCAUCGCCUUGUGGCAGGUAUGAUUUUAAUUAACGGAGUUCGCUCCAGGGCUUUAUUUGAUACAGGAGCCACACAUUCAUUCAUAAGUAGAUCAUUCGCACGCAUGCAUGACAUCCUCAUGGAAGCGAGUGACAAGUGGCGAGUGGAGGGCCCUGGGUCGACGUUCAAUACCUACACGGAGUGCGCCUCGUGUCCGGUACAAAUAGGCGACUGGAUAAUGCCUAUUCGGACGCUAGGACUUCAGAAAUUAGAGGCGUACGACAUUAUAUUGGGCAUGGACUGGCUCUCAAAAUAUCAUGCGACGAUCGACUACAAGAGCAGGGUGAUCACAUUCCGUGAGCCAGGACAAGAAGAAUUCACCUAUCGGGCUUGCCAGAGCUCGUGCUUCGUCGCGACGGUGUCGGCGACGAGAGCAAGAAAGUUGGUGAACAGCGGUUGCUCAGCGUUUCUAGCAACUGUUAUGGAAAUGGAGCAAGCGGCUCCAACAUUGGAGGAAAUAUCGGUGGUGCGGGAGUUCUCGUAUGUAUUCCCCGCAGAGUUGCUGGGGAUACUACCGGAUCGAGAGAUCGAGUUCGUCAUAGACUUGGUUUCCGGUACUGCACCGAUCUCGAAGGCUCCGUACCGAAUGGCGCCGGCGGAACUAAAGGAGUUGAGGAGUCAACUACAAGAUCUCCUCGACAAAUAGUUUAUCCGGCCGAGUGUAUCACCGUGGGGAGCCCCGGUGUUAUUCGUGAGGAAGAAAGAUGGAUCGUUUAGACUCUGCGUGGAUUAUCGAGAGUUGAACAGAGUCACGAUCAUUAAUAAGUACCCACUUCCCCGAAUCGAUGACCUAUUCGAUCAGCUGCAAGGGUCGUGUGUGUACUCGAAGAUAGACUUGGAAUCCGGCUACCACCAGUUGAAGAUCAAGUUGGAGGAUGUGCAAAAGACCGCGUUUCGUACGCGGUAUGGACACUACGAAUUCACGGUCAUGCCAUUUGGACUCACGAAUACUCCAGCGGCGUUCAUGGAUUUGAUGAACCGUGUCUUCAAAGAGUAUUUGGACCGAUUUGUCGUGGUCUUUAUAGACGACAUAUUGGUCUAUUCUCGUAGCGACGAGGAACAUGCCGAGCAUUUGAGAAUAGUGCUUCGUGAAGUCGCCUUCUUAGGGCAUGUAAUUUCUGGCUUCGUGAAGUCGCCUUCUUAGGGCAUGUAAUUUCUGCGGGUGGAGUUUCUGUAGACCUGAGAAAAGUUGAGGCAAUCAAGGAUUGGCCGCGCCCGACGAAUGUCACGGAGGUUCGAAGCUUCGUGGGCUUAGCGGGCUAUUAUAGGCGGUUUGUGGAAGGCUUUUCCAAGAUAGUGAUUCCACUUACCCGCCUGACCCAGAAAGGCACCAAGUUUGUUUGGAGCGAGGAGUACGACCGGAGUUUCAAAGAGUUGAAGCAGAGAUUGACUUCGACUCCGGUGCUCGCUCUACCGGUGCAAGGCGAAGACUUCGUAGUCUACAACGAUGCUUCCUAUCUUGGGUUGGGGUGUGUAUUGAUGCAAAACGGGAAAGUGAUUGCUUACGCAUCCCGUCAGCUAAAGAGUUAUGAGAAGAACUAUCCCAUCCAUAAUUUGGAGCUAGUGGCGGUGAUUUUCGCCUUGAAGCUGUGGAGGCACUCCUUAUAUGGUGCCCACUGUGAGAUCUAUACCGACCACAAGAGCAUGAAGUACUUGUUUACACAGAAGGAGCUCAACAUGCGUCAGCGGCGGUGAUUAGAAUUGUUAAAGGAUUACGACGUUGAUAUCCUCUACCACCCCGGGAAGGCAAAUGUGGUCACGAACGCACUUAGUAGGAAGUCGGCGAAGAAUCUCGCUUUGAUGUUACCCAACAAACGCCCUUAUGGCUGGAUAUGGAGCGACUGGAUUUCGAAGUGGUUCCUCCCGAGAUUCCGGCCCAGUUGAUGUCACUCGUUGUCCAACCGACCUUGUUGGAGAGAAUUAAAGAGUUGCAACCUGCAGACCCCUCCAAAAGGUACGGCGAAACAUCGAGGGAGGCCAUGGCGGAGAGUUCAAUGUAGACGCCGAUGGUACGCUUCGAUUUCGGAAUCGGAGGUGUAUACCCAAAGAUGGAGAGCUUCGCGAAUUGAUCCUACAAGAAGCACACCGAUCUCCAUAUGCGGAUCACCCGGGGGGCACCAAGUGUAUCAGGGAUUAAAAAUGCACUACUGGUGGCCGAAAAUGAAAGGCGAUAUCGGACGCUUUGUGGCGAAGUGCCUAACAUGCCAACAGGUAAAGGCCGAGCGUCGAUUCCCAUCGGGAAAGCUUCAAAGCCUACCAAUCCCCGUUUGGAAAUGGGAGGAUAUAUCGAUGGACUUCGUGGUCGGCCUGCCUCGCUCAACGGGCGGCCACGAUGCGAUUUGGGUGAUUGUGGACCGAUUAACGAAGUCGGCUCACUUCUUGUCGAUCCACACCACGUGGUUGGGUGACAAGUUAGCGCAGGUAUAUCUUGACGAGGUGGUUAGACUGCACGGAGUAUCGAAAUCGAUCGUGUCGGAUCGUGACCCUCGAUUCACCUCAUAUUUUUGGAAGAGCCUGCAAGAAGCCCUUGGCACACAGCUCGACUUUAGCACAGCGUUUCAUCCCCAAACCGAUGGGCAAACGGAGAGAACCAUUCAAACUCUGGAGGAUAUGUUGCGGGCGUGUGUCAUCGACUAUAAGGGAAGUUGGUGUGACCACCUACCCAUAGACGAGUUCGCCUACAAUAACAGUUAUCAUGCUAGUGUGGAGAUGGCACCGUUCGAGGCUCUCUAUGGGCGGACGUGUCGGUUUCCCAUACACUGGAGCAAUGUGGGCGAACGGGCAGAGUUCGGCCCUGAUGUGUUGCGAGAAGCGGAGGAAAAGGUUCGCCUUGCUCGCAAGAGAUUGCUCACGGCGCAGUCGAGGCAGCAAAGCUAUGCAGAUAGGCGCCGUCGAGAUAUAGAGUUCGCGGUGGGUGACUGUGUAUUCUUGAAGGUUUCACCAAUGCGGGGUGUGAAGCGGUUUGGAGUGCGGGAAAAGCUGAGUCCCCGGUACAUCGGGCCAUAUGAAAUAUUGGAGCGAGUCGGCACGGUGGCUUAUCGACUUGCUUUGCCGCCGAAGCUCGCGGAUGUACACAAUGUGUUCCACGUCUCCAAUCUCCGCAAGUAUAUUCACGACCCCGAGCAUGCAAUGCUAUAUGAGCCACCAGAACUCUAAGAAGAUUUGACCUAUGAAGAGUUUUCGGUGGGGGUAAUCGCCCGAGAGGUGCGAAAGCUGAGGAAUCGAGAAAUCCUCUAUGUGAAAAUUCGGUGGAGCAAUCAUGAUGAUCGCGAGGCCACCUGGAAACUCGAGGAGCUGAUGAGAAAACACCAUCCUUAUCUAUUUGAGGAGUGAGGUAUGAGUUUAAAUUAAAGUUAGAGAAUUGUUCGUUUCGAGGACGAAACUCCUUUUAAGGAGGGGAGGAUGUAAGGAAGUAAAUUCUCGAAAUUCGAGGAUUGUACUUCAACCGGGGUCGACUGACUGUCGAGAGAAUACCCUUUGUGGAAGUUUAGAAUGCCCAAAACACAAAAAGUGCUUGGGAGUUGAGUCCGCGAGAGCAAAUCGGUAAAUCUGGACUCAGCAGAUUUUUGCUCUCGGGGAUUGGUCCCUGGAGGGAAGGACCGGUCCCCGUAGCUGGGGGUCGCGGGGCAAGGUCGAUGCAAUCGGUCCCUGGCUGAGGGGACCGGUCCCCGUGCGCGACACCCGCGAGAGGAAGCCUAAAUUUGGCUAAGUCCUGAAGGUUCCCUUUUCGGGAACCGGUCUCCCAGGAGAGACCGGUCUCCCGAGGACCGGUCUCCCGGGGAGAGACCGGAUCCCGAACGCGAAAAAUCCCCAGACUGCAGGGAGAGCUCUCGGGGACCGGUCCCUUGUCGGGGAGACCGGUCCCUCUGGGCGAAAACUGCCCAGUGAGGGCUGUGCAAUGGAUGAAAAGCUGAGGGGUCUAAGUGCAAAAUGGCCUUUAUUAGAGUAGGCUGAGCCCUCUCUCUCUCCCUCACACUCUUAUUUCACUCUCUCUCACUCUCUUUCUCUCUUACUCCCUCUCUCUCUCUAGAAAGGAAAGAAGGAGAAGAAGAACAAGGAGGAGAGGAAGGAAAAGAAGAGGAAGAUAAGGAAGGAGAAGAAGGAGGAGAUCAAGAGGAAGGCUUUGAGCACCUCCAUCUCCCUCUCCUCUUCCCAUUGGUGUAGCUCUUGAGGUAAGCUACUAAACCCUAACUUCUAGAACUUAGGGUUUUGGGUUUUUAUGCUUUGGAAUGGGUCAAAUGGACCCUAGGCAAGCUUCUAAGUAGAUCAAUCCCAUGAUUCUAGGGUUUUAUUGGUGGGUUGCUAUAUGUGCAACCUAGGGCUCCAAAUGGGGGCAUUUUAUAAAGUAUGAGAUUGAUCUCAUUUGAGGCCUUGUAAACCUAAUCGAUAGGUGCCCAAACGCGGGGGCGAAGUCGAUUUCGCGAUUUAUCGAGCGGGCUUAGAGCAAUCGGCGAAUUACGGUCGUUUCGGCGUUAUCUUGGACCAAGGGAGGCUAAAGCCUCAUCGUAGUGCUCGCCGAGGAGCGUUUCCUAAGCCUCUACAUCGAUUAAAGGUGGGGGGUGUUAUCCCGAAGCUUUCGAACUCCUUUCUAUGUCUUAGAUUGCAUUUAAUCUCAUCUCUUCAUGUUGCAUUGUAGGAUUGCAUAGUAGCUCCUUUCCUUAUGCUCUCUAAUUGAUAACCUAGUGUACUCGGAACGCUUGGUAACUUAGAUAGGUGAGGAUUGGGUCGGAACGUGAAUCCUAUGAUGCGAAAGAAAAGAGGUGAACCCGAUGGAGG
rnacentral:lncRNA from 1 species